rfam:Pseudoxanthomonas spadix BD-a59, complete genome.
AUCCUGUGCCCAUGCGUCGCUGACUCCUGUCAGCACCAUGCCAGCAGCCUCGGUCUUCCAGGCUGCGAUGCGGUUCCCCCGCAUGACCGAACCAGUCCGCUCCGCAUCGUAUUGCGGACGAGCGUCCAUCCCGACGCCGAUGC